GGGUAAUACGGAAAAAUUGGGCGUAAAGCGCGCGUAGGCGGUUUUUUCAGUCUGAUGUGAAGCCCACGGAAUCAACCGUGGAGGGUCAUUGGAAACUGUAAAACUUGAGUGCAAAGAGGAAAGUGGAAUUCCAUGUGUAGCGGUGAAAUGCGCAGAGAUAUGGAGGAACACCAGUGGCGAAGGCGACUUUCUGGUCUGUAACUGACGCUGAUGUGCCAAAGCG
rnacentral:rRNA from 1 species